CCUACGGGUGGCAGCAGUAGGGAAUCUUCCACAAUGGACGAAAGUCUGAUGGAGCAACGCCGCGUGAGUGAAGAAGGCUUUCUGCUCGUAAAGCUCUGUUGGUAGUGAAGAAAGAUAGAGGUAGUAACUGGCCUUUAUUUGACGGUAAUUACUUAGAAAGUCACGGCUCACUACGUGCCAGCAGCCGCGGUAAUACGUGGGUGGCAAGCGUCGUCCGGAUUUGUUGGGCGUAAAGCGAGUGCAGGCGGUCCAAUCAGUCUGAUGUGAAAGCCUUCGGCUCCACCGGAGAAUUGCAGCAGAAACUGUUGAACUGGAGUGCAGGAGAGGAGAGUGGAACUCCAUGUGUAGCGGUGGAAUGCGUAGAUAUAUGGAAGAACACCAGUGGCGAAGGCGGCUCUCUGGGGUGCAACUGACGCUGAGGCUCGAAAGCAUGGGUAGCGAACAGGAUUAGAUACCCCGGUAGUC
rnacentral:rRNA from 1 species